rnacentral:lncRNA from 1 species
GCGCCCCGCCCCCCCUUCCCGGGCCGGCCCCGUUUUCUCCUCAGUGGAACAGAGCUAGGCCUGCUUCCCGGGGGUCUCUGCCCAAAGGCCUGCAAAGCCUGGGGUCCAGGGUGGGCACCCUGCAGAGUUCAGGAGGAGAGCACUUCUAUCUUUGCCCGUGUGUCCCUGUGUCCAGGCCCCGUGUGGGGAAGCCUCCCAGCCUGCCCCCCGCCCCCCUCCCCCGCCCCGCCGCCUGUGCCCCGGGGUCGCCAUCGCUGGGGCUGCAGCGGGGAGCCCUGGCGGCGUCGCCCGGCGCACGGUCCCCUGGCACCCUGCAGGAGGCGCCGGGGCAGGGCCUGGGAGCGCGCCAGUGCAGACAGGUAUUUCCAGUCGGGCCAGAGCCGCAGCAGAAGCCGGCGGGGGGCAGGAGGUGGGGCGGGGAAGGCGCGCAGAGGGGAGCCCCCUCCCCGCCACCUCACCGCCCCCGCAUCCCCUGGGGGCCCCUCCCCGCCAUCACGGAUCCCCUGGGGGCCCCCCUCCCCUCCCCUCCCCCCACAUCCCCUGGGGGUCCCGCUUCCCCCUUCUCCCCGCAUCCCCUGGGGGCCAUCUCCCACCUCCCUCCGCAUCCCCGGAUCCGGAUCCCCUGGGGGUCCCGCUCCCCCUCCGCCCCGCAUCCCCCAGGGGUCCCGCUCCACCCCUCUCCCCGCAUCCCCCGGGGGUCCCACUUCUACUCCCCCCACCCCCGCAUCCCCUGAGGUCCCGCUCCUCCCCCUCCCCCCGCAUCCCCUGGGGUCCCGCUCCUCCCCCCCCCGCCCCCCCCGCAUCCCCUGGGGUCCCGCUCCUCUCCCCAUCCCCGGAACCCCUGGGGUCCCGCCCCCCCCCCCCCCCCCCCCGCAUCCCCUGGGGGUCCCGCUCCCCCUCUCCCCGCAUCCCCUGGGGGCCCGCUCCUCCCCCCCGCCCCCCGCAUCCCCUGGGGGGCCCGCUCCCCCUCUCCCCGCAUCCCCGGGGUCCCCCUCCCCCCCCCCCCCCCCCCGCAUCCCCUGGGGGUCCCGCUCCCCCUCUCCCCGCAUCCCCUGGGGGCCCGCUCCUCCCCCCCGCCCCCCGCAUCCCCUGGGGGUCCCGCUCCCCCUCUCCCCGCAUCCCCUGGGGUCCCGCUCCUCCCUCCCCCCCCCCCCGCAUCCCCUGGGGGUCCCGCUCCCCCUCUCCCCGCAUCCCCUGGGGGCCCGCUCCUCCCCCCCCCCCCCCCGCAUCCCCUGGGGGCCCGCUCCUCCCCCCCCGCCCCCCGCAUCCCCUGGGGGUCCCGCUCCCCCUCUCCCCGCAUCCCCUGGGGGCCCGCUCCUCCCUCCCCCCCCCCCCCGCAUCCCCUGGGGUCCCGCUCCUCCCCCCCCCCCCCCCCCCGCAUCCCCUGGGGUCCCGCUCCUCCCCCCUGCAUCCCUUGGGGUUCCGCUCCUCCCCCCCCCCCCCCCGCAUCCCCUGGGGUCCCGCUCCCCCCCCGCAUCCCCUGGGGUCCCGCUCCUCUCCCCAUCCCCGGAACCCCUGGGGUCCCGCUCCUCCCUCCCCCCCCCCCCGCAUCCCCUGGGGUCCCGCUCCUCC